AUAUACAUACCGUAUCGGUUCCAGCAGGGCCUGGUGAAGAAGCGCCGAGGCUGGGAGUAGGGGCCUCAUUUGAUGGAGACGGUGGGCUGGAGGCCGAAGGUGAUAGUGCUGGAGACUUAGCUUUGGUCUUGCUAGGGGCCGGAGCUGGAACCGUGGCAGGAGGAGAAGCCAAAGGAGCUGGUGGUGGGGUAGCUGGAGGAGGAGUAGCAGGAGGGGGAGAAGCAGGUGGUGGGGUAGCCGGAGGUGGAGAAGCCGGUGGGGGAGUUGCGGGAGGUGGAGUAGCCGGGGGAGGAGAAGCUGGUGGUGGGGAGCUAACGGGCGGGGGAGUCGCUGGAGGAGGAGUGGAAACUGGUGGUGGUGAUGAAGUAGGAGGAGGAGAGGAAGCUGGUGGCGGAGAAGUAGUUGUGGGUGUUGGAGGUGGUUGAGUAGUAGGUGGAGGUGUGGAAGCGGGUGGAGUCGGCGGCGCCGGCGUGGAUGUCGGAGGAUUACUAGGAGUAGGAGGAGCUUGGCCUAAAACGCCAGCUACAGCAAUGCAAAACAAAGCUGAUAAGAACAAAAACUUAUUAUUAAGCAUCAUAUUGGAAACAAUG
rnacentral:lncRNA from 1 species